AGCCCUGGUAGGCUAGUAGUUAAAGUCUGGUGCUCCCACUUCAGCAGCUGUGGUUUAUUUCCCAGUCACAGAACCACACCACCCGUCUGUCAGUUGCCAUGCUGUGGCCGCAGCUCACAUAGCAGAACUAGAAGGAGGUACAACUAGGAUAUACAACCAUGCACUGGGGCUUUGGGGAGAAGAAUAAGAAGAA